CUGGGUAAGUCGCACACGGAGUUCUCGUCACGAGUUUUAAAAUUCACAUAUAAAUGGAACAUUUCAGUAGCUUUCCACUUAGUUACAAUUUGAAUUGACACCUGAUCAGUAAAGUGAACAGUGACGAGGAAUUAAUUGAAAAUGAAAACUGCAAUCGUCAGCAUCUUUGUUGCCUUCAUUUUUGGCAACGUAAAUGGAAUCCUACCCAUACCACCUCCAAAUGAUAUAGUAAUUUGUACUAUGGAAUAUAAAAUCUGCGCAGAAGGACAAUAUUCGGGAACAGGACUGGAUGGUUGUCAAGACUGUCUUCAAUGUCCUCAGACAACAUUUGAAACAUGUUCAAAUGGAGAGACUCCUAUCAAAAAUCCACACAU